AACCGCUCCAGGGGGUAAACGGAAAAGAUCUGAAAUUUCGAAAGGGGAGAUUCACGUCUUACNCAUUUGCUCGUCUUUUAUAUGUUUUUUUAAAGAGAUGGCUAGUCGCCCUAUCCAGUGUAACAGCUGUGGUAGAGGGUCUAGUCGCUCGCAUAUUAAAGUUUUUUGCAAUGGUGGACCGCACUUCUCCCUUAGUAGGACGUUGCGACCUGUCAUUUAAACCACUCUAAGUAUAUUUUAUAAAAUGUCUGUAUUUAAGGAUGAGCUCUUAAUUUUUUAAGUGUUUCAUCUUUUUUUUACAGUUUUAUAAUUUUAUAUACCGAGUGAUAUAUGACAGUAACAAAUGACGGUGUUGAGCCACUUGAUAUUUUUUAAUUGAAAGUGCUUUUGGUCGUUUGCAAGUACGGCAGUUUUUUAUAGUUUAUAUUCGGAUAUUUUGUCCGUUUUGCUAUAUCUGUAACUGUUGGCAAACUGUACCUCGGGCCGCGCUCACAGCACCAGUCAGCAGCGAUCAAGGUUAU
rnacentral:rRNA from 1 species